CGAUCAUUCAAUAAACUUUCUCCCGGCUGCAGCUGCCUUGGUCGGGCAGAACAGCCGCAGCAACGCGCAGGUUGCGGGCUGCGAGAGGGAGAGCGCCAAAGGGGCGACUGGAUGGGCGUGUGCGUAAAAAGGGCUGGAGAGGAGCGCUGCUGCUGCCACUGCUGCUGCUGAGGCAGGGAGAAUGGUGAGGGAUAGGAGGAGGAAGAUGGCACCGCCGCCACCUCCAGCUGCCCUUUGAGCUCUCCGGAGGGAGCGAGGAGACGACGACCUCGGCCCCACGCUCCUUCGAGGGGCCGCCUCUGUCCCCGGGGAGAACCCAACGCCAGGUGUCUAUGGAUGUGCAGCGGAAGAAGAAAUGGACCAACCUCACCAUUGGCCUCCUUUUCCUGUCGGGAGGGAUUGAGUACGCUGUGAUCCUGCCAACCCUCUGGGCUUACCUGCAAACUCUCAAUGCUGAGCCAUACUUCCUGGGCCUGGGCAUCUCUGCCUUUAGCUUUGCCGGGCUGAUCACAGGCCCGCUCUUUGGAUAUUGGUCUGACCGUACCCAUAAAACCAAGGCCAUCAUCCUCUUUGCCAACUUGUUUCAGAUAGCAGGGAACUUCAUGUACUUUGUCGGUGGUUCCAAAUGGAUGCUUCUGAGUGGUCGGCUGGUGGCAGGUGUGGGGACGGGGGCAGGAGCUUCCAUCUUUGGCUACCUCACCCGAACAACCACGUUCCAGGAGCGUGCCACGGUGUUUGCGGCUGUCAUGGCGUGCCGGCAGGUCGGGCUACUCAUUGGGCCAGCUUGUAACCUGUUCCUGCGCCUCUGUAACUUCCAGGUGGGGCCCUUCGUGGUUGACAAGUUCACAUCGCCUGGGCUCUUCAUGUGCAUGGUGUGGCUGCUUCUGCAGAUCAUUGUUGCGACGCUGUACUACGACCUGCUGCCACCGCCGUUGGGAGACUCCUCGAAGUCCCCGGCGGCAGCUGUGCGGGAUGCUGUGGAAGAGGAGGAGGAGGAGGAGAAGCCUCUUGUGCAACACGAGGAGGCAGCGGAGAGCAGCAGCUAUGGCAGCACUUCCGCGGAGCGCCGGGAAGCUGUGUCAGGCGACGAGGGUCGCUAUGUGCCCAAUGGACACUUGGCUGAUGAAGAAGCCUCUCUGGAGAAGACUCCCUCCUAUGAUUUCAGCUCCAUGACAGAGUACCUGAGGGAAGAGGUGGUGGUUCUGCUGACUGCCCAGUUCAUUACACUCUUCAACCAAACCGCCCUAGAGACGAUGGUGACCCCAAUCACCCAGAAGUUCUUGAAUUUUGGGGAGCUGGAGAACAGCAUCAUGUAUUUCCUCUGCGGUGUGGAGGUCAUUGCUGGCUUCUUCCUGGUGCGCUGCCUGAGCACUCGCCUGUCUGACCGUGUCCUCUUGGUCCUUGGCCUGGUCAUCUGCAACAUAGCCUGUGCUUGGUGCCUGUUCUUCCUAGUACGGCCCCGAGGUACCUUUGCCAUCCUCCUUACAGAGAUGGUGGUGGGUGUUUUCCUACAAGUCCUGGGCCUUCCCUUUGUUGCAGUCUCCCAAGUGUCGCUCUUUUCUAAAGUCACGGCCGAGAGAACGCAAGGGUUCAGUCAGGGUCUCCGUCGCUCUGUAGGGGGCGUGGCCACCAUCCUUGGGCCUCUGUGGGCUGGAGGCUUGACCGACCACUUGGACAUCAUGCUGGGGGUGAUGAUGGGUCUGCUGAGUCUCCUCACGAUCAUGGUGGGGCUCUCAUAUACAUACCUGGUGGAGCCGCCCAGAAGAUACGUGUCAUCGCAAACAUCUGAAGAUGAAUGCCGCUCAUGACAGCCCCGUCGGAUGGAGGUGCUUCUGAAGGAACAGAGAAGGUCCUGCUCACCCAGGUGUCUCUUUGACUGGUGCUGGGCACCCCCUGGCUGGAUCCCGGUUCCAUGUUGCUGCUCUCCUGCUGGGAUGGGGAUCGGGAAAGAACUUGUCUCAACCCAUUGAGCAAAUCGCAGCUCAGCCACCAACUCGUGCUAUUUCAGGUUGCUCCUCCUGGCCAGCUCUCCUGUCGCCCACCACCUGGCCGAGGACUUGGCUCCAUGCUGCCACCUAAGAGCAAAGAGUGCCAUCUCCUUCCAUGGCAUUCCUCAUUUUCUAGCCUGAACCGGGGCCUGGCAAGCCAUGGAACUGGAUUCGUGUUUGGACCUGGACUGCUGUCUGUAUGUGGCCACUUCCAGUUUCUUCUUCACCUGGGGUCCGUGGGCACUAUAUUAAAGCUUGCUUCAUUCCAAGGAUGGGGAACCUGCUGCCCUCCAGCUGUUGCUGGACUCCAAUGCCCAUCAGCCCCAGCCAGCAAGGCCAGUGGGUGGUCAUGGAUGAUGGGAGUUAUAGCACAGCUCUAUCUAGAGGGUCACAGGUUCCUCCUCCCUGCUGGAAGACAUUGGUUUCUGCAUCUCUUGGCGCUGCACCUCUCCCUUCUUCUCUGCCCCUUCCUGUAGUUGUUGCCACCCAAUGGCACCUGGCAUUGUUUCCUUGCAAUAUUGCACAUGCUGGCACAGUGGGCAACGGCGUCAGCUUGCCCUGCUUGCAAGGUGUGACCCUGGGCCUGUUUGGCGAGAGGCGGCGGAGCGUAAUUGAGAAUCACUCUGCAUCCUGGAAGUUUGGGCUGCACUCAAACUGCGACCCUGAGCACAGACUUGCACGAAUCUGUCGGUGGUGCUGUUUAGGGGCUGAGCUGCGUCGUGGAGGGUGGAUUAACACCAGGCAGCUGUCUGAGCAGCAGGUGUGGAUGUCAUUUCCAUCGGAUAAGGAUUUGGUGUCAGGGGAGUGCUGAACUCUGUGGCUCUCCAACCCCUGCUACUCAGAACCACACAUCCCUCAGGCCAGCUCCAAAGUUGGAAAUGAGCCAUGGGUUUCGGGGUGGGGUUUGAAAUGUCUUCUGGGGGGGGCUACAGGGGAAACGCAAUGGCUAGAGGCAAAAUUCAGGGGGCUCCCAACUCCGCUGACUGUUUCUCUUUUUGCAUUCUUACGGUCUGGAUCCACUGCAGUAAUACUAAUCUGCUAGUACUUCAGUCAAUAUUUAUUUAGACACUUGAUAUAUGCCUUAUAUUUUAGAAAACAAACCAACCGCUUACACUUCCUCCUCCCUUCCUGCUUGUUAUUUUUGUGAUGACCUUUGGGUUAGCCAUGCAACCACAUUCUGCAAUAAUUAAUCCCACUGAAAAGGGGCACUAGGAAAUUUGCACGCUCAGACCUGCAUUUGUUUGAAGCAUUUUUAGUUCACUCUUCGGAUGAAAAAAAGGUCACCUGGAGUGGGUUAUGGAGAAUAAGCUUCCCUGCUCUCAAGGUUGCAAUCUUAAAAAUAUGACACCAAAGGAAAAGGAUUUCUUUUUUUUGCGGGGAGGGGUAGGAGGAUAGACUCAAACUCAUCUUAGUUUACAAAGUUCUAAAAAUGGCCAGCUGGAAUGGAAGCGGCUCAAGGAGAGAGGCAGAGCUGGUCUCUCAGCAGAACUGAUGGAGUAACCCUGCUUCCUUUCCUUCUGCUUCUAUGAGCUCAACGGAAUAAUAGAGUUGUAGAAUUAUAGAGGUGGAAGGAACCUCAAAGGUCAUCCAGCCUGACCCCUUGCUGUGCAGGGAUAGCUGGUGUCAGGAGGCAGUUGAGAGAGGGAAGAUCGAAUGGAGCUGAAUUCUCAGGAAAGGGCAACCCCAAUGAUUAAGGAGAAUAGUAGUUUCCCUAGGAGGAAAGGAUGCAACACUUGGGCCUUCUUAGUUUAGAGCAGUGGUUUUCAACCAGUGUGGCGUGGCACCCUGGGGUGCCUUGGAUGAUGGCCAGGGUGCUGCGGACAACACUGGCCUCUCUCAUUCUUUCCUUCCCUCCCUCCUCUGAUGCCCUCUUGCGUCUCUGCCUCCCAAAGACUUGCACAGCUUAUUCUUGCAGCAGCCCUGGCUACAAGCUCUGCAGGCAAGUGGUGCCUCUGGGGCUGGCCGGGGGGGUGCUGGUUGCCAGGAGCUGAGGCAGCCUUGGGGUAAGUGAGCAAGUGGGUGAGGGAGCCCAGCCAGCCAGCCAGCCCUGGCUGUUGGGAAUGGACAGACAAGUCCCAGGCCCCUGUGGGGCAGUGGGAGGAGGCACCUCUCUUUGGGGUGGGUGGUGGGACAGCUCAGAGACUAGGGGUGGUAGCAACAGCUGCCCAGAGGACUCCCGAGGGAGAGGAGGCUGAGGGAACGCUCCACAAGGGAGGGUGUUUGAAAAAGGGUGAGAGGCUGCCAGUUCUGCAGGCAAGGGGGUGACAUAACUGGGUUCCUGAGCCCCACAGGGGUGUCACAAAAAGAAUGUUAACAGGUGAUAUGAUAGCCAUGUUCAAAUAUAUAAAAGGAUGUCAUAUAGAGGAGGGAGAAAGGUUGUUUUCUGCUGCUCCAGAGAAGCGGACACGGAGCAAUGGAUUCAAACUACAAGAAAGAAGAUUCCACCUAAACAUUAGGAAGAACUUCCUGACAGUAAGAGCUGUUCGGCAGUGGAAUUUGCUACCAAGGAGUGUGGUGGAGUCUCCUUCUUUGGAGGUCUUUAAGCAGAGGCUUGACAGGCAUAUGUCAAUAAUGCUUUGAUGGUGUUUCCUGCUCAGCAGGGGGUUGGACUGGAUGGCCCUUGUGGUCUCUUCCAACUCUAUGAUUCUAUUCUAUGUAGUUGGUCAGGGGAGCCAUGGACUCAAAAAGGUUGAAAACCUCUGGUUUAGAGAAAAGGCCCGAAAGAGACGACCUAGUAGAGGUUUAUAAAGUUAUGUGUGGCAUGGAGAAAGUUUUUCUCCUCUCACAACGCCUGAACUCGUGGACAUCCAGUUGGUAUUCUGCAACUGUUGUUGUUGUUAUUUGGCAGCCUGCUAUGUAGCCGGAAUUUUCAUGCUGGAUUUGGAAGGGGGAAGCCUUAUCCAAAGCCUAUCAGGGCAUUUUUUUAAAAAAAAGUAUUUUACCAAGUGGACUGGUGGGUGAGGGUCUGAUGACGCCACUCCUCCAUCAUUUGCUUCAAUUCUGUGCUGGCCAGCAGUUCCUCUGGCUAGCACAGAAAUCGAGCAGGUCGACAAAGGAGUAGCACAAUCUGCCCACCCCCCACCAGCCUAUUCACUCGCCUGCAUGGAGUCCCCAGUCGCCUAUGGUGACCAGGUAGUUGUGAAAUGCAAAGCUGCCUUCCAGGGUAUCAUCACAUUUGUCAAGUAUGAGCCGUGUGAAAAGCAGUGGCCCUGAAGGAGAGAUGUUCCAUGCAAUAUCACUGUGCCACGUGGUAUCUAUGAACAUGAUGGUGCUAGUCGUGUAACGCUAUUUUCCCUACAUGGAGGUGGGUUUGGGCAGCUUUUGAAACGACUUCUCCAAUAACAAUUUCCCACCGUGCAAAUAAAAAUGGCUUGCACCAUGUGGCAGAGGGAGAGCGAGAGUGUGCAUGUAGUUCACACAAGCAGGCCAGCAUGUGGCGAUGCUUCUCUGUGGUUGGGGUUCAAGUGACGACCGUGAUGCAGUCUCCGUGCCCAUAUAAGAUGCCAGCACAGGAUUGCAUCCCAGCAAUCUUUCCAUGUGUCUCAAUUUCUUGCGUUUGUCUCUCUCUCUUGGAUUUCUGUACAAACAACAAAAAUAAACUGACAUCCUACUGAAGCUGCCUGAGAUAAUUUAAUACUGUCUAUAAAAGGCUAGCUGAAUGUAUGAAACUGCCUCAUCUUUUGAAGGCAGCUCACUAGUUGCUAUCAUUGAAUGUCACCCAUGGGCAGCUGCUGAGGACUCAGGUAGCUGAGAGGCACUAUUUAAGUUUCCGAUAUACCCAGCGAAGGUGUGGGGGCUUUGCAAAACGCAUGGUCACCCUAGAGGGGAGGUACCAAAGGACUACCACAAAGGGAAAUAGCUGAAGUAUAGCUUGCCAACCUUGAUAGCUAGGUAAGUUCAUGGAGGAGAGGGCUAUUGAUGGCAAUGCUCUGCCUCCACGGUUAAAGGCAGCAAUGCUUCUGAAUACCAGUUGCUGGAAAGCAGAGGAGGAGAGAGUUUUCCAGCUGGCCUCUGGGAGGACAGGAUGCUGGGCUAGAUGGUCUUGGGAGAAGGUCAAGAGGAAGCCUGUUCCACCAGGGGGCUCUGUGCCACCAUAAAUGAGAACAUAACAGAAAACCACUAAUAGCAUCCCAAAUGAAAGAGGAGGGCAUUCGCUUUCCUAUGGCUGCAUAAAAGGAAGAAUGGCUAGGUGGGAAAUGCAGAUGCAGCCAAGUGUAGACACGCUCAGCCCAGAAGCAUGAGCCCAAAUGGUUGGUACAGGCUGGGCAUUGCACAAAAAACGCCACCCUGUGCAUGGGCUAUCUCCUCUGCAUCCCUCCAGCUCUGGUGGGUUGGCUGUGGCUCUGAACCAAUUGUCCAGUCCCCUUUGAGGAUGCAAAGCUCCAACUUCAUGCAAUAAGCCUGCUGCAGGUCUGGUCCAGGUUGGCAUGGCUUCUUUGAAAUUUGAACACAGGAGUGGCGCAGCCAAGGCCAGCUUGGUUCAGAGUCCACAGGGCAAAAUGCCCUUGGCCUGUUCUCUGAUGGAACUCAGCUGGGAAGAGUUUGUAGGGCUCUCUCUACCUGGUGAUCUCUCACAGCAUGGUGGUUCUUUGGGGGCCAAGGAAAGCAGAGGGUUCCUAUCCCUUUGAUAGCUGCACAGAGGAAGAGGAAAGCCUGAAAUGACAUGCCAGGUAACUCCAUAAAUUAUGGAAAGUGAACAAAUUUACAUGUUUGAUCCAAUUUUGCAUAAUUUAUAUUGUGUGCUGUGCAAAGAAGUAGAAGCUGUGCAGAGCACUAAAAUCAACACACGCAAAUACGCAAAGUCUACGGAGGCACCUCUCUGGCUUUCUGAGAUCUCUGCACAUUUCAAACCAUAAGGGUUAUUUACAAUACCAUCCUUUCCUGAGCAUCCUCUUCUAACUCGUAAUGUUGGUGCGUGUGAGGCUGAUGCUGCCAUGUGCAUCCACUGAAACAAAUUGCAUUCUGGGAAAUGUUCUCUUCCAACUCUUUCCCUUCUAAAAUACAUCUAGAAACUGCUGGGAGUUAAGUUCAAGUCCUGCCUUUGUUUGGCCUUGGACUCUCAGUCUCCAUUCCUAAACUGUAAAAUGGGAAUAGAAAUGGCUGCCCUUUAUCUGAAACUGGGCAGAGGAAGAAGGGGACCAGAAACCGCACAGACCAUUGACUCCAGAGCCCUGCUGGGUGCUAGGUGGCAGGACAAAAGGGAGAGAGGAACGUUCCCAUUGUGGGUGGGAGACCAGAGGUCAAAUUCCCACUCGGCUAUGAAGCUCACCUGGUGACCAUGAACCUCUCAGCCUAACCUACCUCACAGGGUUGUCGUGAGGAGAAGUGGGGAGAAUCACGGAUGUCACCUAGACCUCUUUGGAGCAAAGGUGGGAUGUAAAUAUAUUAACUAACUAAUUAAUUAGUCCCCUUUCUGUUAUUUCCAAUGAGAAGGUUGUAUACAGUCUUACCUUGGUUCUCGAACGCCUUGUGACUCAAACGUUUUGGCUCCUGAACUUCGCAAACACGAAAGUAAGUGUUCCGGUUUGCAAACUUUUUUUGGAAGCCGAACGUCCGAUGUGGCUUCCGCGGCUUCCAAAUGAGUGCAGGAAGCUUCUGCAGCCAAUCAGAAGCUGUGCCUUGAUUUUCGAACAUUUUCGGACGUCAAAUGGACUUCCGGAAUGGAUUCUGUUCAAGAACCAAAGUUCAACUGUAUAUGUCAACUCCACAGCUGGUAUAUAUUUCCUCCUGUUUCAGGGAUGUGUCAAAGGAAUGGGAAGAUUUUUGAACUUUUGGAUCCAACCCUUCCCCUGAUCUGCGUCUGCCAACCUCCCAUUCACCUCCAUCAGUGUUGGCCUGCAAUGGUUUCUGUGUCACCUGGGAGAGUCCGCAUGAAAUCUGAUAUCGCCCUCCAAGGUCAGAUCUCUCUCUUUCUCCAUACUCAGAGGAGAACUGAAACAUCCUUGGCCGCAAUAUCCUCUCCCAGGGACCACAGGAAGGCAGCCUAAAGCUCUCACACACAACUUGAGUAAAAUGUAGAUAUAGAAGGUGUAUAUCUUUCCAAACUGUAGAGGUCUCUCUCUCUCUCCCUCUGCUUGCAAUGAAGGGUAAAGAGAGAGACAAAAGAUCCAGGACAAUUUGAUUAAGCUGAAAGGCUCUGGAAUUUGCCACACCUCGCUGAAGAAUUUAGGACAUUCCCUUAGAAAGCAUCUUGAGAUUCCAUACAAAUUUAGCUCUCAGAGAUCACCCUCCCUGCAGAAUUCUCAAGCUUAAAUAUUUACCAACAGACUUCUCGGAGCUUGUUCCCAGAUGAAAAGAGAUGCUGCGUUUUCCCUGCCAGAAACAAAUGAUGUACACACAGAAGCGACUGAUCUCUGUAGUGAGAAAACAGGCUCUGAACUCAUCAAGAGGUUUCAUACGGAGUUGGAUGAUGGAUGAAUUCUUUGCAGCAUUGGCUACUCUGACUGGCAGUGGUGGUCCUUUAAAAGCACCACUAAGAACUGAACCGUGGAGUAUCUGCAUUUAAAGGAUAUUAGGCAAUGU